rnacentral:rRNA from 1 species
AACGAACGCUGGCGGCAUGCCUAACACAUGCAAGUCGAACGGGAUCCUAGCUUGCUAGGUGAGAGUGGCGGACGGGUGAGUAACACGUGGGAAUCUGCCUUUUGGUUCGGGAUAACCGCGGGAAACUGCGGCUAAUACCGAAUGCCCUCGAGAGAGGAAAGAUUUAUCGCCAGAAGAGGAGCCCGCGUCCGAUUAGGUAGUUGGUGGGGUAAAGGCCUACCAAGCCGACGAUCGGUAGCUGGUCUGAGAGGAUGAUCAGCCACACUGGGACUGAGAUACGGCCCAGACUCCUACGGGAGGCAGCAGUGGGAAUAUUGGACAAUGGGGCAACCCUGAUCCAGCAAUGCCGCGUGAGUGAUA